rnacentral:rRNA from 1 species
GACGAACCGUGCGUACGUUGUUCGGAUUCACUGGGCUUAAAGGGCGCGUAGGCGGGCCCGCGAGUCGGGGGUGAAAUCCUUCAGCUCAACUGAAGAAUGGCCUCCGAUACUGCGGGCCUCGAGGGAGGUAGGGGCAGGUGGAACUUCCGGUGGAGCGGUGAAAUGCGUAGAUAUCGGAAGGAACGCCGGUGGCGAAAGCGACCUGCUGGACCUCUUCUGACGCUGAGGCGCGAAAGCCAGGGGAGCAAACGGG